GAAAUCAGUAAAUAUCGGAACGUCCUAUAAGCGACUCGUGAAAGCUGGGCACGUCUAUUUCUCCUGGCAGGGCUGAUCUGCAUGUCAAAGAGGGGAGGGCUCGCAGGCGUAGCAUAUUGACACAAGAGGCCUCAAGGAGGUCCAAGGCCGGUUUGACUUGCCUCCGAGGGAUUCCUGAGGAAUGACUCGGUCGUGAAACACGUUCUUCCGCGAGCGUACGCCCGGAAUGUCGUGUGUACUAUACAGGCGACGCAACGUGCUCGUAAACGAGUCACGGAAAACCGAUUCGCGAUCCAGUCGAUGGGCAAGCGCGUAUAACUGUGUCCGUUCUUGCGACGUUUUCGCGUCGAUCCCCGACGGUUAUACGGAGUCUGACGACGCGGGUCAAUGCAACUGUAUAUCUAUCCAAGGUUUAAGUUUAUGUCUCCUAUUUACGUAGGUAAGUUGCUGUCCCGUAUAAAAUCAAUCUAAUCAAAUCUUUUUGCGACCACUCAACCGAGUUUUUAAAGGACCUUUGCAAUUUUAUUGCGAGAAUUAUAGUGAAGUAAUUAUUAUUAUUACAUCGAAAUCAUUUUAUCCAUUUUUUAUUAGAAAGAAAAAUACUCCGUCAUCAUGAUUUUCCAUAUGUUUUGCUGUGAUGUAAUAAAAUAAUUAGGGCUUCUUGAGGCGAUACUGUAAUAGUCUUGCGUGCUAUAAAUUUUUUGAUGACACAGGAAAAUUCAUACUAUCACCGGAGGUUUUAAAGUGCGAGCCAAAUACCCACGCAUAACUCGGUAAACUCGUUAGAGUGAGGAAAGCCCAGCAUUACCUUGAUCCCGAUAACCGUCGAGAAACCAUAUUCGUCUUUAAUAACAAGCACAUACUGGGAAUUUCUUAACCUGAUUACCUUCCCUCGCUGCCAUUACCAACCACCUCCGCCGGGCAACAUUAUCCACGCAUCAACGAGCAAAUGAAAUCCAGUGGUCAUCGGAUUUCGCAUUUCUUUCGGAGUGAAAACGUGUGAUCGAUGAAAUACAAAAAUUCUAUCCUCCGCAAUGUAAAUAGAACAGAUCGUCCAAACGGCGGUGUGUGCGUGCGGCAAAUCUCGCUCGUUAGUCGGAGGAUGAUGACGGCCGAGGAGUAAACGGGAGGGGAGGAUAAGGCGAAGAGGAUUCCCGGUCGUAAACACAAUUUCAUGAAGAUUCGUUAGAGCUCGACGAGGUGUUAAUGUCCUGGUGGCGAGCGCCGGCUAAGAAGAUUACGCGGAUUUGCGUUUGGCGUUCUGAAAUUAAUGACGGUCGCGGCGAUAUGGCGCAGGAGGAUAGGGAAGAAAAAGAAGACGAAGAACCACGUACGGCGUUAAGAAGAUGAAAGGGUGGAGGUGGGCAAAGACGCAUCUCAUGCCUUAACUCAUGCCUAAACAUGAAAGCUACCGAGUCGACUUAACGCGAGUUAUAACGCGGCGAGCGUACUUCGCAUCGGGUCGCCUUAAAUCGCAGCUCGCAAUGUAUUUACGUGAUACCGGCGCGCUGCGCUACGAUCUAUUCUGGCGCAGCAUCCGGGAAAAAUGGUUUUUCUUCACGCCUCACAAUAAAGAUCGAGCACGAUCUGCUGCGCGAUGCAAGAACAUUUGUAAUUCUUAAGAUUUCAUACAAUGUUUUAUAUUAAAAUGAACAUUUUUAAUGUUUUUUAGGAUCUUAGAGCAUCAAAUCGUGGAGUAUAUGCAAUCCAGUGAUAAACUACGAUUCACAUUCGAUUUACUAUGCAGUUAUUAGUACAAUCAAGAUACCUUUAUUACCUAUGUAAAUAAUUAUCUAACCCACACAAAGCUAUUCCUUCCUACAUUCUUUCCUUGCUAAUCGAUCACCAUUCUCGAAAGGAAUCGCGAGCCGAGAUCGGUGGAGAAGGGAAAACAAACGAUAAUUCUGGCUGUCUAUCAUUUUUAUGUAUCGCCUACGAUCAUUAAACAGCAUUAUUAAUUUUACUGACUGUCACAGGGUUCGAGUAAAACGAUCGUUUCGGAAUGAGCAACACUAACAGCGGACGCUCCGAGCACGCUGCCGCGAGACUCCACUAAUUGCCACGUAGCUAACCUUAAUUACACCUACGAUCAUUUAUCUAAUCGUACAAUCAUUAUUUGUACGAGAGCAAACCUGCCGUUAGUUUUACGCGAUAAAAUCGCAGAAGAUGGUUCGAGCGGUUGGGUGUCGAAAGACGAAGCUCCCGGACUUGCAACUGCAGGGCAUCAAUAUAUGCAUAAUUAUCAAUGUUCUAUUUUAACAAUCUACAACGUUACAAUUAUAUUUCCAUUGCAUGGAUAGAUUGAUUUGUUUUGGAUAGCUGUGUGUACUACAGGCAAUUAAUUUCUCUUGCAGAACUGAGGAUCAUUUGUAUCGAUUACAAAUCAAUGAUAGCAAAGAUGGAUUAUUGAAAACUGAAACACUCUGCUCUUACAAUAACAUCAUCAUUAGACGUUACGAUUUAAUUAAAAUCGAUGAAGUUAACACGCAUCCAAUAUAUAAAGCCAAUACAUACAUCAUUUCUGAUAACCUAUUUACUUGUUAUGACUAAAUAAGAUUACAGAUAUUAUUAUUCUAAAUACGUUGAUAAUUACGUACUCACUGUUAAUGGAAAAUGCCAUUACAAACAAGAGUAUCUAUGUAAGUGGUAAAUUAUUAAAAGAAAGAAUACAGCGAA